rnacentral:rRNA from 1 species
UUAAGCGACUAAGCGUACACGGUGGAUGCCCUGGCAGUCAGAGGCGAUGAAGGACGUGCUAAUCUGCGAAAAGCGUCGGUAAGGUGAUAUGAACCGUUAUAACCGGCGAUGUCCGAAUGGGGAAACCCAGUGCAAUUCGUUGCACUAUCGUUAACUGAAUACAUAGGUUAACGAGGCGAACCGGGGGAACUGAAACAUCUAAGUACCCCGAGGAAAAGAAAUCAACCGAGAUUCCCCCAGUAGCGGCGAGCGAACGGGGAGCAGCCCAGAGUCUGAAUCAGCUUGUGUGUUAGUGGAACGGUCUGGAAAGUCCGACGGUACAGGGUGAUAGUCCCGUACACCAAAAUGCACAGGUUGUGAACUCGAAGAGUAGGGCGGGACACGUGGUAUCCUGUCUGAAUAUGGGGGGACCAUCCUCCAAGGCUAAAUACUCCUGACUGACCGAUAGUGAACCAGUACCGUGAGGGAAAGGCGAAAAGAACCCCGGCGAGGGGAGUGAAAAAGAACCUGAAACCGUGUACGUACAAGCAGUGGGAGCACCUUCGGGUGUGACUGCGUACCUUUUGUAUAAUGGGUCAGCGACUUAUAUUCUGUAGCAAGGUUAACCGUAUAGGGGAGCCGCAGGGAAACCGAGUCUUAACUGGGCGUUAAGUUGCAGGGUAUAGACCCGAAACCCGGUGAUCUAGCCAUGGGCAGGUUGAAGGUUGGGUAACACUAACUGGAGGACCGAACCGACUAAUGUUGAAAAAUUAGCGGAUGACUUGUGGCUGGGGGUGAAAGGCCAAUCAAACCGGGAGAUAGCUGGUUCUCCCCGAAAGCUAUUUAGGUAGCGCCUCGUGAACUCAUCUUCGGGGGUAGAGCACUGUUUCGGCUAGGGGGUCAUCCCGACUUACCAACCCGAUGCAAACUGCGAAUACCGAAGAAUGUUAUCACGGGAGACACACGGCGGGUGCUAACGUCCGUCGUGAAGAGGGAAACAACCCAGACCGCCAGCUAAGGUCCCAAAGUCAUGGUUAAGUGGGAAACGAUGUGGGAAGGCACAGACAGCCAGGAUGUUGGCUUAGAAGCAGCCAUCAUUUAAAGAAAGCGUAAUAGCUCACUGGUCGAGUCGGCCUGCGCGGAAGAUGUAACGGGGCUAAACCAUGCACCGAAGCUGCGGCAGCGACACUAUGUGUUGUUGGGUAGGGGAGCGUUCUGUAAGCCUGCGAAGGUGACCUGUGAGGGUUGCUGGAGGUAUCAGAAGUGCGAAUGCUGACAUAAGUAACGAUAAAGCGGGUGAAAAGCCCGCUCGCCGGAAGACCAAGGGUUCCUGUCCAACGUUAAUCGGGGCAGGGUGAGUCGACCCCUAAGGCGAGGCCGAAAGGCGUAGUCGAUGGGAAACAGGUUAAUAUUCCUGUACUUGGUGUUACUGCGAAGGGGGGACGGAGAAGGCUAUGUUAGCCGGGCGACGGUUGUCCCGGUUUAAGCAUGUAGGCUGGUUAUCCAGGCAAAUCCGGAUAAUCAAGGCUGAGGUGUGAUGACGAGGCACUACGGUGCUGAAGUAACAAAUGCCCUGCUUCCAGGAAAAGCCUCUAAGCAUCAGGUAACAUCAAAUCGUACCCCAAACCGACACAGGUGGUCAGGUAGAGAAUACCAAGGCGCUUGAGAGAACUCGGGUGAAGGAACUAGGCAAAAUGGUGCCGUAACUUCGGGAGAAGGCACGCUGGUGUGUAGGUGAAGUCCCUGCGGAUGGAGCUGAGACCAGUCGAAGAUACCAGCUGGCUGCAACUGUUUAUUAAAAACACAGCACUGUGCAAACACGAAAGUGGACGUAUACGGUGUGACGCCUGCCCGGUGCCGGAAGGUUAAUUGAUGGGGUUAUCCGUAAGGAGAAGCUCUUGAUCGAAGCCCCGGUAAACGGCGGCCGUAACUAUAACGGUCCUAAGGUAGCGAAAUUCCUUGUCGGGUAAGUUCCGACCUGCACGAAUGGCGUAAUGAUGGCCAGGCUGUCUCCACCCGAGACUCAGUGAAAUUGAACUCGCUGUGAAGAUGCAGUGUACCCGCGGCAAGACGGAAAGACCCCGUGAACCUUUACUAUAGCUUGACACUGAACAUUGAGCCUUGAUGUGUAGGAUAGGUGGGAGGCUUUGAAGCGUGGACGCCAGUCUGCGUGGAGCCAACCUUGAAAUACCACCCUUUAAUGUUUGAUGUUCUAACGUUGGCCCCUUACCGGGGUUGCGGACAGUGUCUGGUGGGUAGUUUGACUGGGGCGGUCUCCUCCCAAAGCGUAACGGAGGAGCACGAAGGUUAGCUAAUCCUGGUCGGACAUCAGGAGGUUAGUGCAAUGGCAUAAGCUAGCUUGACUGCGAGCGUGACGGCGCGAGCAGGUGCGAAAGCAGGUCAUAGUGAUCCGGUGGUUCUGAAUGGAAGGGCCAUCGCUCAACGGAUAAAAGGUACUCCGGGGAUAACAGGCUGAUACCGCCCAAGAGUUCAUAUCGACGGCGGUGUUUGGCACCUCGAUGUCGGCUCAUCACAUCCUGGGGCUGAAGUAGGUCCCAAGGGUAUGGCUGUUCGCCAUUUAAAGUGGUACGCGAGCUGGGUUUAGAACGUCGUGAGACAGUUCGGUCCCUAUCUGCCGUGGGCGCUGGAGAAUUGAGGGGGGCUGCUCCUAGUACGAGAGGACCGGAGUGGACGCAUCACUGGUGUUCGGGUUGUCAUGCCAAUGGCACUGCCCGGUAGCUAAAUGCGGAAGAGAUAAGUGCUGAAAGCAUCUAAGCACGAAACUUGCCCCGAGAUGAGUUCUCCCUGAGACUUUAAGUCUCCUGAAGGAACGUUAAAGACGAUGACGUUGAUAGGCCGGGUGUGUAAGCGCAGCGAUGCGUUGAGCUAACCGGUACUAAUGAACCGUGAGGCUUAACCU